AAUUUCCGAUUUAUCCUGCUAGAUAAAUAAAAUAGUGACGUCACAACGUGGUUUCGAGUAUGAUAAUAAAUUUUACUUACAGAUCCAACUUGUUGCAGAAAGAAGGUCAUCUGCUUAUACCCUCCAAAACAUUAGAGUUUCAAAAGAUUCUUUUCUCAAUAGCAAAUAUAACCGACCAAUUAAACGCUGUCGUACCGAAGAUAUGCUACUACUUUGGACCAACUGUUUGUUCCUCUUCCGAUAAGAUAAUUUUUUUUUGUUAAUUUACACUCAAUUUCAGAUGAUAUUUGCAUUCGGCGGCUUAUUUGCAAUAUCGGUCUUCAACUUUCACAAUUUCUAUAGGACAUUGGGCGAAAAGCACACACCUGAAUUUUACUUACUAAUUUUCGCCUAUGAUAUUCUCAGCUUAUUGUUUUGCGUCUGGGCUGGGCUGUGCAUUUCGAUCUCUGCCUUUAACACUAGCUCGGCUAAAAGGAUGGGCGUUCUGGUUCAUAAAGUCAUGGCACGCACAAACGAGAAAGCUUUCAUUCUUAGGCUAAAAAUCCUUUCCCAACAAAUUCUCCAUCGGUCGCCUGACGCUUCAUUUGGCAUUUUCUCCUUAAAUUGGUCCCUUGCAUAUACGUAUGUUGCAUCCGUUGUGUCGUACAUCGUUAUCUUAAUUCAGUUUGAAAAUUAUAUUGCUGACGAUUCAAAAGCUCAUUGACAGCAGAGGUUCAUAAGAUUGUGUUGGCGAAUAAAAUCGUAAAGAUGAGGUGAAAUUUUACUCGAAACUAAAAUUUGCAAAAUGAUUUGUUUGAACAUCAAUUUUAUGAAUAAAGUAUGCAGCCAUUAAACAGUUGUUGAUUAUG